GUUCAGAAUUCACUCAAAUUUGUGAAACCAAUAGUGGUAGAAGGUGAGACAAAGUUGAAGGGUAUCUCAGCAGAAGAGUGCUCGAAAAUCAUGCUUUGGCGUCUUCAGUUUCCCAUUGGAGUUGUGCCAACAGAUUCUGUCGAAACAUCCUCAUUGUUUGAUGUAAUUAAUCAAAGAUUAAUAAAAUAAAAUGAGAUUUAAAAAGUGGAAAAAUAUGUUGUUAAACCAU